GAAAACAUCUGUUUUCUGAUCUCCAGAAAACAAGUACAGCUUGGUUACCUGUCUUGUGCCACCACCUUCUUGGAGGGGACUUUCCAGUGAAUGCAGAGAUCAGCCAGUGGUUGUCAUGGCCUUGCUUGCUCCCAUGCUACUGCCCAUCUUCCCAUGUACAGAAGCUCCCAGUCCUGCCUGGCCUUUUCUUUAUCAGUCUUGGCCUGAAUAACUUUCCUAAGGCUAAAUAGGAUAGAAAUAAGCACCAAAAGAAACAGCUGGUUACAGUAGCUUCUGGACUAGCACCUUAAGGGAAUGGGUUUUAGGAUGUUCAUUUGGUGAAAUCAGAGUCUUUUAAUAGUUGUUGACAGUAUUAUUUUAUAUCCCAUGUAUUGUAACAAUAUCAGAAAUUAUGUGGAGAUAGGAUUGUUUUUUUUCUCUUUAAUACACAAGUUUCAGU